rnacentral:lncRNA from 1 species
AUGAAGACAACAUCUGCAGGAAUAUACGUGGCAGACCCUCGAGCUGCAGAGAAUCCUGACCCUGGUGAAACCCAGCGACCUAAAGCAGUCCCAUCACUGGACUUUCCGAUAGAUCAUGCAUUCUUUGAGGAAGCAAGUGCCUUCUUCUCAUUUGUAUGCCCAAGGAUAAAGACAAUGACUACUGAAUUACAAGAAGGGUGGAUGGCUGCCAAGUAACAGUAGAUGACGAGAAUGUGCAAAUCAGGGGGAAUCACCUUUUGGGAAGGCUGGACUUGGCACAAAUCUGGGUGUAACUGCACUUUUAAAUGAGCAAAGUAAACCCCCUGAAAAUACGUUGCUGGAGACUGUUGUGACAGAAGUAUGAAGCACUAGAAAAUUAGUUUCAUAUACUUUUCUUUUGAAGCGAGCUCCUCAUAUAAAAAAAAAAUCUUACAAUAUUUUGUUAACAUCAUUUAGGAGGAAGAAAAUAAACAAUGUGUUUGUAGUCCCUUAAAGUUACGC